rnacentral:snRNA from 1 species
GUGCUCGCCGUGGCAGCACGCAGACUAAAAUUGGAAUGAUACACAGAAAGUUAGCAUGACGCCAGCACCAGGAUGACACGCAAGUUUGUGAAGCAUUCCAUAUUUUG